rnacentral:rRNA from 1 species
AGAGUUUGAUCAUGGCUCAGGACGAACGCUGGCGGCGUGCCCAACACAUGCAAGUCGAGCGGAGACAGUGAGUAGCUUGCUAUGAGCUGUUUUAGCGGCGGACGGGUGAGUAACGCGUGAGCAACCUUUCCCAGACAGGGGAAUAACACACCGAAAGGUGUACUAAUACCGCAUAAGACCACGGGAUCACAUGGUUCUGGGGUAAAAGAUUUUAUCGGUUUGGGGUGGGCUCGCGUCCGAUUAGGUAGUUGGUGAGGG